CCCAAAUCCAGUUCUGAAUCCAAUCCCAAACCCAAAUCCAGUCCCAAACUCAAUCCCAUAUCCAACCCUGAAUCCAAUCCCAGCUCCAAUCCCUGAAUCCAAUCCCAAAUCCAAUUUGAAAUCAAAUCCCAGAUCCAAUCCCAAACCCAGUCCCGAAUCCAUUUCCGAACCCAAUCACAAACCCAGCUCUGAAUCCAAUCUUGAACCCAACCCGGAAUCCAAUCCCAAAUCCAAUCCCAAAUCCAGUUCUGAAUCCAUUCCCAAACCCAGUCGUGUAUCCAAUCCCAAAUCCAAUCCCAGAUUGCAUCUAAAAUCCAUUCCCAGAUUCAAUCCUGAAUCCAGUCCCAAAUCCAAUCCCAAAUCAAAUGCAAAUCUGAUCCUAAAUCCAAUCCCAACUCCGAUCCCAAACCCAUUCCUGGAUUUCUUUCUGAACCCAAUCUCAAACCCAAUCCUGAAUCCAAUCCCAAAUCGAAUGCAAAUCCAAAUCCAUUUCCAGACCCAAUUUUGAACCAAAUCCCAAAGUCAGUCCCAGAUCCAAUCCCAAAUCCUGUCCCAGAUUCAGUCCUGAAUCCAAUCCCAAAUCCAGCCCCAGAUCCAAUCCUGAAUCCAAUCCCAACUCCAAUCCCAAACCCAGUCCUGAAUCUAAUUUUGAACCAAAUCCUGAAGUCAAUCCCAAAUCCAGUCCCUGAUCCAAUCCCGAAUCCAGUCCCAGAUUCAAUACUGAAUCUAAUCCCAAAUCCAACGCCAGAUCCCAUCCCAAAUCCAAUUCCGAACCCAAUUCUGAACCGAAACCCAAUUCCGAACCCAAUCUCAAAUCCAAUUCCAAACCCAAUCCCAAAUCCAAUCCCAGACCCAACCCCAGAUCCAAUCCCAAACUGAAUCUGAAUCCAACACCAGAUCCAAUCCCAAAUCCAGUCCCGAACCCAAUUCUGAACCAAAACCCAAUUCUGAACCCAAUCCCAAACCCAAUCCCAGAUCCAACCCCAGAUCCAAUUCCAAACCCAAUCCCAAAUCCGACCCCAGGUUGAAUCCCAAAUCCAGUCCCAAGCCCAAUCCCAAACUGAAUCUGAAUCCAAGCCCUGAUCCAAUUCCAGACCCAAUCUUGAACGCAAUCCCAAAUCCAGCCCCAGAACCCACUUGAUCCCAAACUCCCGAUCCCAAACUCCCGAUCCCAAUCCCCAUCCCAAACACCCAAUCCCGAUCCCAAACUCCCGAUCCCAAACUCCCAAUCCCAAACUCCCGAUCCCAAACUCCCAAUCCCAAACUCCCAAUCCCAAUCCCAAACUCCGAUCCCAAUCCCGAUCCC
rnacentral:lncRNA from 1 species